rnacentral:rRNA from 1 species
AUGGACUGGGCGGCACACACGGAGCACAUCCACGCCCAACUGGAGUGUGCCCAGCGCAGGUUCAAGAAAGAAGCAGAUCGCAAUCGCACUGAGCAUCAGUUCCAGGUCGGCGGGCAAGUGCUGCUGAAACUGCAGCCCUACGCGCAGCGCUCGGUCGUCAAUAGGCCCUGUGCCAAGCUCGUCUUCAAGUUCUUCGGGCCGUACACUAUCCUCGAGAAGAUCGGUCUCAUGGCGUACAAGCUUGCUCUGCCGCCCGCCAGUCAGGUACACCCGGUCUUUCACGUGUCCCAGCUCAAGCCAUUCACGCCGGACUAUACGCCGGUGUACGCGGAGCUGCCGCGCGUGCCGGAUCUCUCUGUGUCAUCAGCAGAGCCAACACAGCUGCUGGAACAACGCAUGAUGAAGCGAAGGAAUGCGGCCAUCAUCCAAGUCAAAGUGCAGUGGGGCGAGGGCUCGCCGGCGGCCACCACAUGGGAGGAUUAUGAAGUUCUUCGGCAGCGUUUCCCAGCGGCAGCUAUUUGGGAGGAAUCAGGUUCAAGCUCGCAGGAGGAAGCUCAGUCUUAA